rnacentral:rRNA from 1 species
AGAGUUUGAUCCUGGCUCAGGAUGAACGCUAGCUACAGGCUUAACACAUGCAAGUCGAGGGGCAUCGGGGGAGAGCUUCGGCUUUCCCGCCGGCGACCGGCGCACGGGUGAGUAACGCGUAUCCAACCUGCCCAUGGCUGGGGGAUAACCUUGCGAAAGCAAGCCUAAUACCCCAUGGCCUCAUCCCGGGGCAUCCCGGUUUGAGUAAAGGAUUCCCGGCCAUGGAUGGGGAUGCGUCCGAUUAGCUUGCCGGUGGGGUGACGGCCCACCGGGGCGACGAUCGGUAGGGGUUCUGAGAGGAAGGUCCCCCACACUGGAACUGAGACACGGUCCAGACUCCUACGGGAGGCAGCAGUGAGGAAUAUUGGUCAAUGGGCGCGAGCCUGAACCAGCCAAGUAGCGUGCAGGACGACGGCCCUAUGGGUUGUAAACUGCUUUUGCGCGGGGAUAACUUCCGCCACGUGUGGCGGCUUGCAGGUACCGCGUGAAUAAGGACCGGCUAAUUCCGUGCCAGCAGCCGCGGUAAUACGGAAGGUCCGGGCGUUAUCCGGAUUCAUUGGGUUUAAAGGGAGCGUAGGCCGCGCGUCAAGCGUGCCGUGAAAUGCCGUGGCUCAACCAUGGCACCGCGGCGCGAACUGUCGCGCUUGAGUGGGCUCGAGGCAGGCGGAAUUCGUGGUGUAGCGGUGAAAUGCUUAGAUAUCACGAGGAACCCCGAUUGCGAAGGCAGCCUGCCAGCGCCGCACUGACGCUGAAGCUCGAAGGCGUGGGUAUCGAACAGGAUUAGAUACCCUGGUAGUCCACGCGGUAAACGAUGGACGCUCGCCGUGGGUCCUAUAUGGUUCCGUGGCCAAGCGAAAGCGUUAAGCGUCCCACCUGGGGAGUACGCCGGCAACGGUGAAACUCAAAGGAAUUGACGGGGGCC